UCUCUCGGCAGAAUGAGAAUAUAUCUGCUGCAAACUCCGCUCCAUUCAGUUCCACCGACGCAAGGGAUUAUGGGGGUCAUUAAAAGACAAAGAAAUAAAUCUAAAAGUAUUCUAUGUUUCUAGUCCUUGCGGCUGCCUAACAUAAGAAUUUGAAAGGGAUUUCCAGAUAUUAAGAACAGCAAAGGAAAAGCGGGAUAGGUUUAGUGAAGAAAAAGCUGGGAUGCAUUAGAUCAUGUUGCUGCAACUACAGAGUGUGUGGAAGUAUGCAAGACCAUUAAAAUGGACAAGGGGGGGGGGCGUGUUUGGAAUUGCUUUUAAUGAAUGUGGUUUUCCUUUGGGUAGUUUGGCUUCCCUGAGACCUUGAAUCCCCUGGAGCAUGAAGGUCAAAGUGAUUUCAAUUUUAGAAGAUAAUUACAUGUACCUGAUCAUUGAAGAAACCACGCGAGAGGCCAUAGCGGUGGAUGCAGCGGUUUCCAAGCGGCUCCUAGAAAUCAUCCGAAGAGAAGACAUCGUUCUAAAAGCCAUUCUGACUACCCAUCACCAUUGGGAUCAUGCAAGAGACAAUGAAGAACUGGCCAAACUUUAUCCUGGCCUGGAGGUAUAUGGUGGGGACGAACGGGUGGGAGCUCUGACACACCGCGUGACUCAUGAGGAAGAAUUAAAGUUUGGCAGUAUCAACGUACGGUGCCUUCUCACUCCAGGCCACACCGCGGGGCACGUCUGCUACUUCGUGUGGGAAAACGAUUCCCUGAAUGCUCCUGCAGCUUUCACAGGGGACACCUUAUUUGUCGGUGGUUGUGGGAAACUCCUGGAAUGCACAGCUGAGCAGCUGCAUAAGAGCCUGGCGGAGGUCUUGGCCGGGCUGCCAAAGGAGACGAAAAUCUUCUGUGGACACGAGUACACAAUCCAGAAUUUGAAGUUUGCCUCAAAGGUGGAACCCGAGAAUGAAUUUGUGAAAGAAAAGCUCAUUUGGGCUAAACCACACCUCCCCUCCACCCCCGAUUAUUGGUCAAUGUCCAAUGAAGAGUUCUGCUGUUUAGGUGACGGAUGUUCUGAUCCAGGCUUCCCAAAAGCCGACUCCUCAGCCAGCUCCGAGAAGAUGAAGACCUUCCAACAGUGCCUUCUACUUUGGCCGAGGAGUUUCUCUACAACCCGUUCCUUCGCAUCUUGGAAGAGCCGGUCCAGAAGUUCACGGGAAAGUCGGAACCUGUUGAAGCCUUCACGGCUCUGUGCAAGGCCAAAGAGAGCUUCCGGAAGCCCAAAGAGCGGCUGAAUCCUCAGGCCAUGUUGGCAUUCGAGUGGGGGCUCUUUGACCCACUCCUGCAGAAGUGAAUCCCUCCCUGCCAUGAUGGGGAUACAGCUGCAGCAAAUACAUCUGGAUUUUACAGCCCCUUUCCAGCAGCGUCCAAUGGGGCAGAAGGUUUGCCGAGGUGAAGUUGCCUUCUUCCAUUUCACCAAGGAGGGAAAUGGCCUCCUUUCCUUCUGAUUCUUAAUUAUCUUGCUGUAAAUAUGGUGACAAGUAUCGAAGUAAAUUCCUUACUUCUGUGAAGGCAGGCACGAUGGAGUUAUGCAAAAUGGAGGAAAAUAUAGUUGCCUGCCUCAAAAUUUACCAUGAAUUUAAUGACAACUAUUUGUGCAUCUUUUAAUUAAAAAAACGUUUUAAAAAAUAAAA